rnacentral:rRNA from 1 species
GGACCCUCUGUGGCGGGUAGUUUGACUGGGGCGGUCGCCUCCUAAAGCGUAACGGAGGCGCGCGAAGGUUGGCUCAGAGCGGUCGGAAAUCGCUCGUUGAGUGCAAUGGCAUAAGCCAGCCUGACUGUGAGACUGACAGGUCGAACAGAGUCGAAAGACGGCCAUAGUGAUCCGGUGGUCCCGAGUGGAAGGGCCAUCGCUCAACGGAUAAAAGGUACGCCGGGGAUAACAGGCUGAUGAUGCCCAAGAG